rnacentral:rRNA from 1 species
GAUGAACGCUGGCGGCGUGCCUAAUACAUGCAAGUCGAGCGAAUGGAUUAAGAGCUUGCUCUUAUGAAGUUAGCGGCGGACGGGUGAGUAACACGUGGGUAACCUGCCCAUAAGACUGGGAUAACUCCGGGAAACCGGGGCUAAUACCGGAUAACAUUUUGAACCGCAUGGUUCGAAAUUGAAAGUCGGCUUCGGCUUUCACUUAUGGAUGGAACCGCGUCGCAUUAGCUAGUUGGUGAGGUAACGGCUCACCAAGGCAACGAUGCGUAGCCGACGUGAGAGGGUAAUCGGCCACACUGGGACUGGGACACGGCCCAGGGUCCUACGGGAGGCAGCAGUAGGGAAUCUUCGGCAAUGGACGAAAGUCUGACGGAGCAACGCCGCGUGAGGGAUGAAGGCUUUCGGGUCGUAAAACUCUGUUGUUAGGGAAGAACAAGUGCUAGUUGAAUAAGCUGGCACCUUGACGGUACCUAACCAGAAAGCCACGGCUAACUACGUGCCAGCAGCCGCGGUAA